ensembl:misc_RNA
AAAGGAUCCAUAUGAAGCACAAGAUGGCAAAGAAGUGGAAGGAGAAUUAACGCCAGCAGUUCAGCUUUGCUUAA